UCCAGACUCCUACGGGAGGCAGCAGUGGGGGAUAUUGCACAAUGGGGGAAACCCUGAUGCAGCGACGCCGCGUGAGUGAAGAAGUAUUUCGGUAUGUAAAGCUCUAUCAGCAGGGAAGAAAAUGACGGUACCUGACUAAGAAGCCCCGGCUAACUACGUGCCAGCAGCCGCGGUAAUACGUAGGGGGCAAGCGUUAUCCGGAUUUACUGGGUGUAAAGGGAGCGUAGGCGGCAUGGCAAGUCUGAUGUGAAAACCCGGGGCUCAACCCCGGGACUGCUCUGGAAACUGUGCAGCUAGAGUGCAGGAGAGGCAGGCGGAAUUCCUAGUGUAGCGGUGAAAUGCGUAGAUAUUAGGAGGAACGCCGGUGGCGAAGGCGGCCUGCUGGACUGUAACUGACGUUGAGGCUCGAAAGCGUGGGGAGCAAACAGGAUUAGAUACCCGAGUAAA
rnacentral:rRNA from 1 species